rnacentral:pre_miRNA from 1 species
UCUUAUGGAUGAGCAAAGAAAGUGGUUUCUUGAGAUAGAAUCUACUCUUAGAGAAGAUAUUGUGAA